rnacentral:rRNA from 1 species
AGUGAACGCUGGCGGCGUGCUUAACACAUGCAAGUCGAACGAGAACGGAUUAUAGCUUGCUAUAAUUGUCAGCUAAGUGGCGCACGGGUGGGUAAUGUAUAGGUAAUAUGCCUCUUACUAAGGGAUAACAAAUGGAAACGUUUGCUAAUACCUUAUACUCCUUAUUAACAUAAGUUAAUAAGGGAAAGAUUUAUUGGUAAGAGAUUAGCCUGUAUUGUAUCAGUUAGUUGGUGGAGUAAUGGCUUACCAAGACUAUGACACAUAACUGGUUUGAGAGGAUGAUCAGUCACACUGGAACUGAGACACGGUCCAGACUCCUACGGGAGGCAGCAGUGGGGAAUAUUGCACAAUGGACGAAAGUCUGAUGCAGCAACGCCGCGUGGAGGAUGACACAUUUCGGUGCGUAAACUCCUUUUAUAUGAGAAGAUAAUGACGGUAUUAUAUGAAUAAGCACCGGCUAACUCCGUGCCAGCCGCCGCAGUAA